CAGGUCAGAACAUCACGAUGCUCAGUUACUGCAACAGUUCCGGCAAAAGGCCGGAAAAAGCAGCAGCUGCGUCCUCAGCAGAAGACGAGGAACCGUUAGUCAGACUCAGCAGGAAGACCUGAAACACCGGAGGAAACCGCAGACUCGUUCACCAGAUGACUCGACUUCUCCCUCAUUUAUUUAUACAAAUGCAGGCACUCGUUACCU